rnacentral:tRNA from 3 species
GGGCGAUUAGCUCAGAUUGGUUAGAGCGCUUGCUUGACAUGCAAGAGGUCAGCCGUUCAAAUCGGCUAUCGCCCACCA